rnacentral:rRNA from 1 species
UAGAUAAGUGUAUUUCCUUUUUAUCUUUUUAUGAUUUUGGAGUUUUUUGAAUUAUUUUAUUAUUAGUAUUUUUUUUUUGGUUUUUAUUGUUUAUUUUUUUAAUAUUAAAUAUUUAUAGAGUUAAAACUAAUUAUAUUUUAUGUUAUAAUAUGAGGAAUUUCUAGGUUGUGUGUUAUUAUAAUUAAAUUGAAGAGUGUGUAUAGAGUGUUAUAGUAUUUUAAUUGUACUUAGGAAUAUUAAUAAUAUAUUAUUGAUUAAUUUUUAUUCCUUUUGUAUUAUGAUAAUUUUAUUAUGUGUAAAUGUUUAAAUUCUAGAAAUAUUAUGAUCUAAAAGGUAUUGAAAAAUUGUUAAGUUUUUUAAAAUAUCUUUUUGAAAUGAAAAGUUAAUCGUAUAAUAUGAUAUCUAGUUGAAUCUUAUAAUGUGAAAUCUUAUAAAAGGUGGGAUAAUCUACUUUUUAAUAAAUUAACAAAUUGUAAUUGAAAGUAUUAAAUUAUUGGUAGUAUUUAAAAAUAAAGUAUUUAAAUUUAUAAUUAAAUUUAUAUUAAUAUAUUAUUUAUUAAAAAAUGUAUCUUCUUUUUUUUACAGAUUUAAUUAUAUUUUUUAUAAAUUUAUAUGAGUUAAUAAGUAGUGUAUAUAGUUAUAUGUAGUGUAUAUAUGUGUAAUUAAUAUAAUAGAAUAAUUAGUAAAAGAACUUGGCAAAUAUUAGUCAGACUGUUUAUCAAAAACAUUUCUUUUAGAAAGUUUAUUAAAGGUAAAACCUGCCCAAUGAUGGUAGUAUAUUUAAUGGAAGUUAAAGUAGCGAAAUAAUUAGUAUCUUAAUUAGGUACAUGUAUGAAAGGUUUAACUGAUUAAGGUUGUUUUUAUUAAAAAUAAGAAAUUUCUAUAUAAGUGAAGAAGCUUAAUAAUACAAAUAGACGAUAAGACCCCGAGAAGCUUUAUUUAUAAAUUAUGUAAAUUUUAAAUGGGGCAUUUAAUAAUAUUAGUAAAAUUAUUUGAAUAGUUAUAUUAUGGUUUAGUGAGACACAUAUUGUGGUUAGUGGUUAAAGUUACUCCGGGGAUAACAGCGAAAUAAGGGGUUUUAGUACUUAUAGAAUUUUUUGUUUUCGACCUCGAUGUUGAAUUAGAAUAUAAAUCCCGAAGAGGGGAUAAAAAUUAGACUGUUCGUCUGUAUUAUUCUACAUGAUUUGAGUUCAGAUCGGCGUGAGCUAGGUUGGUUUCUAUCUUUUGUAUGUGUAUAUGAGUGAUUUUAUUGUACGAAAGGACUUAAGAUUUAGGUUAUUACCAUUAGAUGUGUUAUUAUUAAA